rnacentral:rRNA from 1 species
CCUACGGGAGGUAGCAGUGAGGAAUAUUGGUCAAUGGACGCAAGUCUGAACCAGCCAUGCCGCGUGCAGGAAGACGGCUCUAUGAGUUGUAAACUGCUUUUGUACGAGGGUAAAUCCCGAUACGUGUAUCUGUUUGAAAGUAUCGUACGAAUAAGGAUCGGCUAACUCCGUGCCAGCAGCCGCGGUAAUACGGAGGAUUCAAGCGUUAUCCGGAUUUAUUGGGUUUAAAGGGUGCGUAGGUGGUUAGAUAAGUUAGAGGUGAAAUUCCGGGGCUCAACCCCGGCAGUGCCUUUGAUACUGUCGGGCUAGAGUUUAGUUGAGGUAGGCGGAAUGCAUGGUGUAGCGGUGAAAUGCAUAGAGAUCAUACAGAACACCGAGUGCGAAGGCAGCUUACCAAACUACGACUGACGUUGAGGCACGAAAGUGUGGGGAGCAAACAGGAUUAGAUACCCGAGUAGUC